rnacentral:rRNA from 1 species
GACGAACGCUGGCGGCGUGCUUAACACAUGCAAGUCGAACGCGCCUGUCCUCUGGGUUUCUGGGGGGUGGGUGAGUGGCGAACGGGUGAGUAACACGUGAGUAACCUGCCCCCUUCUUCGGGAUAACGGUCUGAAAGGGCUGCUAAUACCGGGUAUUCACUGGUCUCCGCAUGGGGUCUGGUGGAAAGGUUUUUUUCUGGUGGGGGAUGGGCUCGCGGCCUAUCAGCUUGUUGGUGGGGUGAUGGCCCUCCAAGGCUUUGACGGGUAGCCGGCCUGAGAGGGUGACCGGUCACAUUGGGACUGAGAUACGGCCCAGACUCCUACGGGAGGCAGCAGUGGGGAAUAUUGCACAAUGGGCGCAAGCCUGAUGCAGCGACGCCGCGUGAGGGAUGGAGGCCUUCGGGUUGUGAACCUCUUUCGCCCGUGGUCAAGCCGCGACGUGGGUCGUGGUGAGGGUAGUGGGUAAAGAAGCGCCGGCUAACUACGUG